rnacentral:tRNA from 2 species
GCGGGCGUAACUCAGUGGUAGAGUGACAGCCUUCCAAGCUGUACGUCGGGGGUUCGAAUCCCCUCGCCCGCU